CUCAAGAAGAAGCUGAAGUUCCUCAUCUAUGUAAAUAUCUAAAGUUGAACUUGGCCAAUGGCAAGUCACAGCUUUUUGUGUUUACAGGAGAACGAGUACUUCCAGGAUCUAUUGCAC
rnacentral:precursor_RNA from 15 species